CGUUCUGGGUGCGAUUGGGGUCCAUAGCCGUCGUCGAUUGGGUAGCCACUUCCGUGAGCUGGGGGUGGAGGGUACCUGAGGGCAGAAGAGUAGUGGAUUAGGGUUAAGAAUCCUCCCCUAAGUCUUCGUUUUCUGAAUGGAAAGUGUCCAGAGACAACCCCCAGACGAUUCCUGUACCACUCGAAAGAUGAUCCUGUGGCCAUCUCGUUGAUUGAAUCGACUCAGUCGACAAGUGUGGUAAUGCUCGGAGUAAACUGCGCUCCUGCAUUGAAAGCUGGUCUGUCGAAGACACUCGUCGAGGCAUUCGC